UUCUAUAUUCCAUUUUAAAUCAUAGUAAAUCAUGAGAAAUCUUUGAUGAGUUCACGGUCACAUGACAAAGUUAUGUCUACAUGUAUGAGCUACUAGUUAAAACACUGUCAGCCAAGCAGAAUAAGACGCUUACAUCCAAAAUUAAAUCAUAUGUAUUAAUUGAAUUUAUUAUAGAAUUUUAACGGACAUGAUUUCCUAGGAAAACUAGUCUGGGGACAUAGAUUACUAACAUUGGACUAAAUAUAUUAUUAAAGUCUGUAACCAUGGACUUUUUAUACUACCGGUAGUAAUAUACCAGGACAAAUUUAUCACUUACACUUACAGGACAUUUAAUAAAAACAUUUUCAAAAUAUUAUGUAAAAAAUGUAUAUGCAUGUUUUGAAAAUUUUAAAUUAAACUUAGGAUGUGAUAAUUUAGAUUACUUGCAUGAUUUUUCUUUCAGAGUGAUGAAGUUAUGACAUUUUUUCUCUUCAUUUUGAAAGAAUGUGGCACUCAGAAUGUUCCACCACUAGCCAAAGUAAAGAGCUAUUUACAAGAAAAGUUUGAAAUGGGAGAAAUGAUUCAAAGGCAUGAGGACGCACAGGGUAACAUAAGUUGGACAAUAAAACCAUCAGCUAUGCUCCGACUACACCUAGCAAAUCCAGAUACUGCUAACAGAAUAUCCAGAUAUCCUACGGUUGAAACCAGUAGUCAAACAGUUCACCAGGCCUCAGGCAAUAAAUGGAAAUCAAUGGAAUUUCAUUGGGCAAUUAACAAAGAAAGACAACAAUUCAUGAAAGGGGUGUUCAUAUCAUUCAGUGUCAGAGGUCAAAUUGUUUAUGGGAAAAUUAUGCAAUUCCUUGAAAAUU